rnacentral:tRNA from 1 species
CGGGGUGUGGCUCAGUCUGGUAGAGCACAGCGUUCGGGUCGCUGGGGUCGUGAGUUCGAAUCUCGCCACCCCGACCA